rnacentral:lncRNA from 1 species
CAGAUACUGUCCUGGGCUGAGGCCAUGUUCUCAUAGGCACUGAAGAGGCUCUGCAAACCCCUGCUGGACUUGUAUGGCCUCGCAGCCAGGUAACGCAGGGUUGGGAGUGGCACGUCCGGCGUUCCUGCCACAUAUCAGGCGCAGUGCUGAAAGCUUUGACAAGCUCUGACUCACUGACUCCUCUGACCGCCCUGCACAGAGGCUUCUUCACUCCCCAUUUCACAGAUGAGGAAGCUGGGGUUUCCUCCUCACGCCAUAGAGACCUCAUGAGCACGGUCCCAGUGCAGGCAGGAUUUUAGGAGCUGCAGAGGAGCGCAGUGGGCAAGGCUGACCCCUGCCUUCAGGAAGCUCAGUUUUACUCAGACACAGACACGCAGCACAAGAAGUCAUCUACAGAAGGCUGUGUGCACAGCUUCCUGCAGAGAGCCUGAGAGUCACCUCUUAAGCAGACCAUUCUGCUCUCACAUUUCCUUGCUUUUGUUUUGUAAUCAUCUUUUUUUUUGAGAUGGAGUCUCGAUUUGUUGCCCAGGCUGGAGUGCAGUGGUGUGAUCUCAGCUCAUUGCAACCUCCGCCUCCUGAGUUCAAACGAUUCUCCUGCCUCAGACUUCUGAGUAGCUGGGACUACAAGUGUGUGCACUACCGCACCUGGCUAUUUUUUUGUCUUUUUUAGUGGAGACAGGGUUUUGCCACUCCAGGCUGGUCUCAAAUUCCUGACCUUCGGUGAUGCAACCCCCUUGGCCUUCCAAAGUGUUCGGAUUACACGCACGAGGUACUACACCCGGCCUGUUUUGUAAUCUUUUAAACACACAAAAGCCCUUAUUUCUUGCAGGCUGUGCAGAAGCCAGCCACAGGCUGGGUGUGGCUCACUGCUCAUCAUUUACCACCACUGAGCCAUACAUUAGGUGGCAAAUGCUAGAGAAGGAACAUUGGUGAGACGGUGUGCGGGGGAUCCUAUGGUGUGGCCAUGGCCUGCUUUGAGGAGAAGGCACAGUUCGAGAAACAGCCAUGGGGCCGGUGUGGAACUACUCGUUGGUGGUGACACUGCCACUGCUGCCUGGUGGGGACAAGCCCUGGAUGUGGCCCGGGUGACCAGCUACCUGGUGAAGGAGAAGUUGCUGUGGCCACUCCGAGAGCUGUCCAGGGCAAAUGUGUUGCCAAGUCCUACCGGCUCAGACACCACCUGCUGCAGGGUCCCCAGGAGUGACCGACCUGCAGCCAAGGGCGGUGCUGGGAUGACCGGCUCUGGGCUCCCGGGGAGCUUGUGUGUGGCUCAGGUGAGCCUGUUAACCCCUGUGGACUCGGCUUCCUCCACUGUGAAAUGCAGGUAACAACGUGGCUCGCUCACGUGGGUAAGGUGCAUGUACAGUUCUUAAUGCAUGGGGGAGCCAUGGUACCCAGGCUUGGCAAGGAGCGGUUUAUCUGUGUGGGACUCACACAGUGGCCUAGGGCUCCCUAGCAGCAUGGGUGCAGUCAUGUCUAAGCAGCAUGCUGAUGUUGUAGAAAACAGCCUGGUCUUCAAGUGGUGUGCGUGUGACCAUGGGCUUCUCUGUGCCCCUCAGUUCUGACAGCUGACCACAGGACUGGUAGUGCCUCCCUCAGGAUGCUGGCCCUGGCCACCUGGUGCCUGGCUGUGCACCAUAGAUGGUGCUUCCCUGCCACAGGCACGAGCACCCCCAA